GCCCUUGUAGUUCAAUGGAUAGAACGCGCCCCUCCUAAGGGUGAGAUAUGAGUUCGAUUCUCAUCGGGGGUA
rnacentral:tRNA from 1 species